UUACCCAGUUUGUGGAUCUUUGGGUUGCGGCUGCUAUUAAGCAAGAUUAAUGACAUAUACUGGAAAAUUUCCCGGGCAGAUAAAGUUUCCAGUUUACAGAUAAUGUAAAAGCAACAUCUCUCAACCACUCAAUCACAUUAAAUAUUUAAGAAGGCAGCAGAGGGUAUGGCAGGCAGUCACAGCACAAUAGUCUCCAUAAUUAGUCUCCAAAGAACAACAACAGAUGGAGGAAGUGAUAGAGAAUGAAGAAAAGACAAACCAGGCAGACAGGCUGACAGGGAGAGUUUACCCAAAAUAAAUGCAGUGUGAUGCCCCACUGACAAACACAAAA